rnacentral:miRNA from 1 species
GACGUCGAUAUUCGACGUCAUAAACACGAUCAACUUUGGUGUUUAUGACGUCGAUAUUCGACGUCAUAAACACGAUCAACUUUGGUGUUCAUGACGUCGAUAUUCGACGUCAUAAACACGAUCAACUUUGGUGUUCAUGACGUCGAUAUUCGACGUCAUAAACACGAUCAACUUUGUGUUGAUGACGUCGAUAUUCGACGUCAUAAACACGAUCAACUUUGGUGUUUAUGACGUCGAUAUUCCACGUCAUAAACACGAUCAACUUUGGUGUUUAUGACGUCGAUAUUCGACGUC